AGCAGAGGACAACCCUGAGUCCUAAAGGGACGGGAUCUUCGUUCUCUUCCUACUAUACACAAUGAGGACGGUGAUCCCUUGGUCGGGAAUGGAGGGGAUAUAGACAGAGUGUCCAGACUUGUUUGGACACAGCUAUGACCACUGGUGAUGUUUCUUCUUAAACCCCUUCAGUGACCAAAAAUAUCUUGGGACAUGUAAGAUUCCUUGAAUACUUUGAAUGUGAAAGGACUUUUAUGUGGUCAGUACAUAUGGUUUUGUCCGUUAAAACAAAUCCGGUAUUUAUAACCUUAGAACGAAAGUCGAGAAUGCUAGGAUUUAACACACAAAAUUGUCUAUCCUUGUAAUUAAUUUCUGAUGUCAAGAUCGGGUUAAAAAUCCAAGUGGUUGUAAAACAGGCGAAAUGAAUUCUUGCUUAGAUAUGUCUCAAAAACCCUUUUUCACAUGCACUGGUGAACAAUCCUAUGUUGGUUUGAAACACGUAUGAAUACGUCGAUUUUGUCCAGCAACGCUUCUGACAGGCAUUGGGACGGUCGGGUAGCCUAGUGGUUAAAGCGUUUGCUCGUCACGCCGAAGACCUGGGUUCGAUUCCCCACAUGGCUACAAAGUGGGAAACCUAUUUCCAAUGUUCACAUGAGAUAACCUACUGCUGGACAUUUGCGGCGAAAAAUCCAACUCACUCAUUCUGCUAGGUACUGGACAGAGGUCAGUCGGUAUCUGUACUGGAAUCUUUGAAGGGUCUUGAAUGACUUAUCUCGAAGGGUCAGUGAUCAGUCAGCUCCAGAUCCGUGGCGUUUAUGACUAUUGAAAUGAUUACUAUUUGAAAGUACAUGGACGCAAGCCUAUGAAGGUCGGACGUGUACAAAGGGCUCUGAUCCAUUUUGACGAUUCUGGCAAGGAUUUAUCAGUGUUAUUGUCACCAAAGUGACCAUAUCCAAAACUUUCAUCUUCUGCUGUUCCCAAAUGAAGCUAACACAUCGUGACGUAACUGAAAUAUAGUUAAACUCGUGUUUUGUUAAGCCUCAUUAAAUGAACAGAUAAGCUUUAACUAUAUUGCUCUAAAUUAGCAUAUAUGUCCAUAAAGAUUUGAAAAACUUAUUAAAUGGAAACACUCAAUGACAGGUAAACGAGAAGAGCUGUGUAUCUUUCAAUAGCAUCGUUUGAGUUUACAAGAUGUGACACAACACAAAUAUGUUCCAAAAGAAACGCGAAUCACGUAAAACUCUGAUACAGUGGGGAAUAGAGAAAUCGAUGUUUGUUUAUCAUGCAAAGGACAUGAGUCUUUACAGUGAACACACAAAUUGUCGUUAUUCAUAACCAGACGGGUUUUUGAUAAUGUCAGUUAGAGAAUACGACAUUUGGUAACGUCACUGAGAUUCAUGAUAAAUGAUAUUUCAUUAUCGAGUAUGACCUCCAUCGGUACAUCAAAACACACAACUGACGAGAAUGACUGUCUGAGCACCGAACACACACCACUUUGCAUUGAUUUAUGUCGUAUAUCAUUUAAUUUCAAACAUUUGUAAUAUUUGCGUUUCCUUUGGAAUUCAGUAUAGUCAUCAAUCGAAUUGAGCAUUUCCAAAUAAGCAUAUAAAAGAGUCAUAACACGUACUAAUCUAUCGAGCAAAAGAAAGUAUAUACUCUAAAGUUAGAUUUGAAAACAUGCGUGUAUACUUUCUUGCGCUGAAGGGUAUUUUAUAAUCCUUCAAAUUAAUAUUCAUUUUCAUUAGGAUAUUCGUUCCUUACACCAUUGGGGUCAUUCUGAAAUAUUGGGCCCCGUUCCUCAAAGCGAUCGUAGCGCUAAGGUGACCGUAACCCCAUACUUUAACAUAGACUUACGACUGUCGUAGCGCUACGAUCGCUUUGAGGAACGGGGCCCACAAGCCAAAAUCUCAAACCUACGUUUCUAGAAAAUAUCCAUACCUUGAAAGCUAAUCAAAUAGGUGCCAAUCAAAUUUAAAAAUAUAUAGGCCAGUGUUAGCAAUACCCCGCAAUUUAACAGUCUGUUGAUAACAAAAACGGAUUGAAAUAGUUCCUGUAAAUGUUUAUGGGUAUUUUUUCUCAUUUAUAACACCUAUUGCAGUACAGAUAUGUGUUUGCACUUGUAUCGUUAUUUCUGUUGAAAUUUGCAUUUACAACCUUUUAUAUUUCAAACAUAUUCCAUCUGUAACCUGUUUUUGUAUCUCCAGGUUUUACCUCGUUUGUGUAUAUACUUCUAUAUACUUCAAAGUAGUAGGGGAACCUGAACUUUCAAUUUGGAUAGGAAGUAUAAGCGUUAACGAACUUUUCAAAGACAGACAUCUUGUGAACGCACCACCAUUUCUCUUUAUCACUACCCCUGAACACAUCGCAUGCGAUGCACGUGCACAAUGCAGUAGCCCAUACACGUGCAUGGGGUGUUAUUGUUGAUUUUGACGGUUUUCACGAAGGUCGAUAAAUCACAGGAGACCAUUCAUUUCGACAAUCAGCUUGCAUCACACAGUUGUUAGUGUUUGUUUCUAGCCGGUUUUGGUUUGUUUGAAAAUGAAAAUCGUACACAUGCAAAUUUCACCUCACACACCAAUCACCUUUCAAGAGCGAUUACUGUACAAACAACUAUUGUCAUAAGGAAGUACAAGGGGUGAUGCACACCCCAAAACAUUCAUUUUUAUCAUAUCAGUAUUGACUGACUCAGAUAUAUCUCCCGUUUUUUUAAUCGUAAAGUAAAAAUUAAGUAAAAAUAAUUCCCCUACUUUUUUUGAAGAGUAUAUAUUUUUUUCGGCUGCAACCAUGACACACUUAUACACAACCACAUGCAUACGACUUCGAUUAAUAUAGGUUACCUACUGUUAUAUAUUAUAUUCCUUGAACGAAAUGCAUUUACUUUUGAAAACAAUUUAGCAUUUUUAAAUCUGCAUCUAAAUCGUGUUGGUGCUAAAAAAAAUUAUUAUGAGCGUCUUGUUUCUCUUAAUGAUCGAGUACUUCGUCGUAAACGCGCAGUGACAAUGAAAUUUAGGAAUUACUAGUUGUUAUUUUAUGUAGAUCUUCAGAUCAAUAUCUCUGUUUUAUUAGGUAGGGAACAUGAUACCACUGCCAAUAUAAGUAAGGCCUUGGUGUUUAUACGUUAUCUGUAAUUCGAGAAUUUUCAACUCAUUACCAGAUCUCCAAAAUCAGUUUACAUAUUAUAUAUCAAAAUAACAAAUUUCUGAUAUUUCAUCUCUGUCAGGUUUGAACUGACUGUAUUACGGGAUGAAUUGUAGCUAUGUAGUUAUGUAACGAACCUUUUUGUCAGUAAUUGUCCAAACUGACUGACCAGUGUACAUCCACUGUAUUCUGUCCGUGCGGAACAUGAGUAACCGGUUGAGAUUCGUACAAUUCUGAAACUUGCAUACAGCGUUGACAAUUGCUACAUGGAAGUACAGAGUAGACAGUGGUCUAUAAGAUCGUAAGGUGGUAAGAUGGCACAGUGGUUGCGGCGUUCGGUUUCGGGUUCAGGUUAGACUUCCCACACAUGGGUAGAGCUGGAUAAACCCAUCUGAGAUUCAGUUUUCAUGACAUGUCUGGAAAGCUUCCGAAGCCGCGACAAAACGUAUCACGCCAUCAUUCCUCGUUUCCAUUCUCAGUGAAUUAAUGUAAUAUAUGAUAAAGUAAAAUGUAAAUACCUUUGAUAAAAUGUGAAUACAUAUAGACGUAAACACCGUUGUGUCGAAUGUUGAUGUGUCGAACGUACAUCGUAAGUAACAGAUAAGUCCCUUCGAAUGCCUUCCUUUUUCAUCAUUUUAUGUCGAACCUGGGAUAUCUCGAAGUAUUCACGUAGGUUCCUUCAACUUCGACACAAUGGUGCUUGGAUGCAUAUUUUAUGCUAUACCGACGAGGACCAAAAAUAUAUUAUCUAUUGAUAGUCUGUACAAUAUUUGUAAAUAUAGCAAAGAGUAAAUUUGAAAAUAUUUGGUGGAAUAUUCAAUUAUACAUCCGUCCCAUUUUUCAAGAUGUCUAGUGAAAUUAGUGACAUAAAUUUACAAUAACGAACAUAUUUUUUAAGUUAAUAAUGUAUUUGGUGCUGUAGUUUAUCUUGUGAGAUUUAUGUUUUUGACUGUUAAUAUAUUUGAAACUUGUUUAAACGGCAUUACGAAGCUUUUAUAUGACCAUCUGUGCUUGCUGAAUUGUUGUAUGACACAACUCGUUGGUUUCUUGCAACAGGCUGUCUUUCAGAAGGUUCACGGAGCUCGGAUGAUCCGUCAUCGCAGAGUCCAUUCGUAGCUUCGAAUACAUGACUUCAGCUGAAUAUGAUCCUUGAUUUGUCAACGCCAUAACUACAUUUUUACUGUUAGCUAAAGUUUUAAAAGAACCGCUUUGCUUCUCCUUCACUUACCCGCCAUAAAUGACAUACUAUUGGCGAGCGUCCAGCACAAGCACAUAACCGUAAAUCCUUAAAUAAAUACCUGGAGUAAACGUACGUCCAACGGCCAUGUGUUUUGAAUAAACGCGGAAUCUGACGUAAAUGAUACCCAUGAAUGAAAGGAUCUAUGCUAUAUACUGUAUAUAAGAAAAUAAGGUUUUGAAGCCAAAACCCCGUACUGAAAAUGAAUAAAUAUACAAACGACAGCCUCGAAUACAAGCCGGGGUUCAGGACCUCAUAACUAAACCCCGGGAGUUAUUUCAAGGAUUUACGGUAAAAUGUUGAUACGGUGAAACAUGAAUGAAGUCUGGAGCAAAUGUUAGAAAUGCAGAUCCAUUUCAUGAAAACACAACAACGAAUGCUUAGAUUUUGAUAUGUUUUUAUUGCUGUGUAAAAAUGUUUUGAGUAACAUCUGUAACUUCUUUGUAAGUCCAGCAGUUUCGUUUUGGUAUUGUCAAGGUAUAUAUUUCAAUUAUGAUUAUUCCAUGAUUAUUUUCUUUUCUCAUUUUAAUUUAAUUUCAAAGUCCUGAAAUAAUUUACUUCGGAGUUGCGAAAAGUCAAGUUUGAAAUAAUCUUGUAAACCUGAACCAUAAUCUGCCUAGAGUUGUUUCCCUUUGUGCCUUUCGUAUUUUCUGAACUGAAAACUAAAGGGAGACAACUCCUUAUGAAAUCGGUGCUGCCAAAACUGGCAAUUACAACCAUCCCAAUAUUCGGUGAGCUCAAAGCUAGGUUGGUUUGAACAGAUGAAAACGAGUUCUAUGUCAUAAGCCUAGGCUUGUCAGCCCCAUUCCCAUGUUCUUUGGGCAAGACUUACUGGCUUUGCUUUUGGUUUACGGAUUUCGUCCCUAAAAUUUAGGUCGAGAAAAAUAAAACAUCCAAAUUUCAAUAUGAUGUAUUUCUUCAAAAAGUAUAAAGAAAUGUAGGGGCGGGAGGGUUAUUAAGGUAUAUUUUCGAUAUGUUUUAACGAUAUUACUCUGAAUAAUUAAUAUUGUAAACGACUGUUAUAAAGGAGUUGUUUAUAAACAUUUUACUUAUUCGGGUAUGAAAUGACUAAUUUAAGUUUUUUUAAUAAAGAACCUCCUGAAAUAUAGUUUUUCACAUUUUAGUUUUAGAAUGUUGUCUUAGUUUUAAUGCAGUUACAAACGUCUGUGAUCGUUGUUCCUUUAGAGUUAGGGGCUGUGAUGUAUCCUAGUGGUUUAGGCGUUCGCUCGACACACUGAAGACCCAGGUUCGAUUCCCCCACAUGGGCAUAAUUUGUGAAGCCCAUUUCUGGUGUUCCCAGAAAUAUUAUUAUAUUAUUAUUGCUGGAAUAUUGCAAAAGGCGGCAUAAAACUAAACUCACUCACUUUUUAAAUUAGCUGACUCGCCGUGGUGUAUCUGAAACAGUCUUCAAGCCGAGUUGGACCCAAGUUUAUUUAAACUGUCACUUUAUUGGUGAAACACAUAGCAUUAUUUGACGUUGCAUUUCCUUUCAUAGAAUAUUACAUAAACGUGAAUGUAGUUUAUAUUUGUACAAAUAUAUCCUGAUCAUAAUAUACUCAACAAUUUCAAUAUUCAAUAUUUAAGUAUUAUAUGGAUCAUAAUAUGAACCAUUAAACUAUUAAUAGUUCAUAUUGUGAUCCAUAUAAUACUUAAAUAUUGACAAUUGAACUUUUGUUGUUGAGUAUAUACUGAUCAUGAUCAUAGUAACAGUGCCAGUCAUUGCUAGUAAUAGCAAUACUAAAUAUGAUAUGCAAAUUAUAUAUGUUUAUGUUUUUUAUACCUAGUUCUAAUUAUCGUAUGUAGGUAAUUGUUAAUUCACUAUUUUGCAUGUUUGAAAAUUUGAGUACAGUUUUACCAAAAUAUCACGUGGAGUCAAGUGUAAAAUAUUUCUUGAAACUUUACAUUUGUACAAAGUCAAUAUCUUACUGUCAUUUAUUGUUGCGGUGCAACGUAGUGAUAUUUUUACAGUGAUUAUAAACGUUGAAUCAUUCCAGAUACAGUGAAUUAAUUAUACAUGGACAAGGAUGUAAAAACGUAACCCGAUAUGAAUGCGUAUUUAUAACACUGGAUGAAAAUCUGUAUUUCCAAGUUGGGAAAGAAGGUGGAAUGCUGGCUCGUUCCCGUUUUUUUAUGACGUUAUGGCGUCAUUUUCUAAAGUGUUUUCAAACGUCGAUCGCAUUGGAUUAUUGUAAAUUUUGAACUUUAUUGUUUUUGUUUUUAAAUACAUAAAUGCUGUACAUAUUUAUACACAGACCAUUUGACAAUAGUAUUUUGGAAUGGAAGAAAAUCCGUCUUUGAACGUUUUGGGAUAAUAAUUAUUAUUAGGCCAGCCAUGGCAGAAUUUACGCCGCUUACACUUUCGGAAAAAAUACUGGGUGUCUGUUAAAUUCUUACAAAUGACACUGUUGUUCCUUUAUUAAAAAAUAUAAACUUUUUGACCAAACGAACAGUAAUCCAAAAUUGGGCAUGGUUACGUUUUCAUAUUACUUCCAUUAACAGUGCCUGAACAUUUGCCAGGAGUUUACAACAGAUUUGCUCAUUUUAUGUGUUCAUCAAGUAUUACAGUUUCUCCGUCAGUAAAGGCCUUCCCAUUUGAUAUUCCGGGGGAAUUGGCUUGUGUGGAAGAGAUUAUUUUUCAGCUACAGCCGCAAAGCCAGAUAUUUUUAACCCAAACAAUCUGUAACAUUCAAUUAUUUUUUGGCCAGACAUGUUCUUUCAAGAGAUUGAAUCAUAAAUAUAUUUCACAGUAUUUUAUCGGACGGUUUGAUUUUUUUCGGUAACUUCCCAAUCCCCCUUCCCCAGAAUAUGAAAGGUUCGGUUAUGUAUGUGUAACUGAUAUGCAAUUUGUAAAUAUAUUAUAUUAUGUUUGAAAUUGUUUGUAUUGGAGACUUUUAUGUGAUAAGAUCGAUCUCCUUUGCCUUUAUCCGCCAGCAAACUGAGAUUGUGAUGCCAAUUUUAAUGUCCUUUUAAUAUUUCGUACUUGCUUCUGUUUGUGUUUUCCCAUUCGCUUUGGGGUUGAUAUGGGUUGUUUGGUGGCUGAGGAUAUGCGGAUAUACUUGCGGUCAUGAUGAUUUAACACACAUUUAACCCUACAGCAUUUAUAUCGGCAUAUUCACACAUUUCCAAGUUAUAAACAAGCUUUUAAAUUAUCAUUUCUUGGGCCUGGGAUACGAUAGCCGCAGCCGAUAUUUCCUCAACAAUGAAAUAUAUCAAUACUUUAUUGUAGACAGAUGUUUUGAUUUUUAUGCCUGUCUUUCUUUUGUUACGGCCUUUAAUUGAAAAUAUUUUAAAUACUUGUUUUUUUCAGUCUGUGGGAGAUUUUUUCGUUACUUCUGUGAUCGAAAUACAUGUUUGAUGUGUUCAUGUGCGAUAUGCUAGUUCACUACAACUGUAGCAUUACAGCUGUCUUCAAUGAUUGUUUAAUAUGCUGUUUGUAACUGUUUGUGAUAAUUAUGAUAACUUCAGCCGUUUUCGGUAAACAUACAUAUCAAUGUAUAUCCAUUACAGCUGUACUCCACAUUCACGGAAGCUAUUUUCAAUAUACAGUGGACUCCCUCUAAACGGACAUCCCUCUAAUCGGACAUUCCCUGUAAACCGACAUAUUUAUUUGGUCCCGACUUUGUCCCUAUAUCAUAUUAUAGCAGUAACUCCCUCCAAACCGACAUCCCUUCAUUCCGAAUUCCGACAUUCAAAUCCAGUUCCAAAACAUGUCUUUAAUAUCAUCUCAGUUUAGCAUGAACAUUGCCAGUCAGUGUCAACAACACAUAUAUUAUAAUAAGAAGUCAUGGUCGGUGACUGCAUUGCAAGUCACAAUGACUACCCAUUGAAAGCACAAUACAGAAGUGCUUUCAUGCCUGUGGUUUGUUUUCUUUGUUUAAUUUUGUUUGUGUGUGGUUUAAUUUUUUACUGAGUUUCUAAAAACUUCCUCUAAACCGACAUUCCUCUAACCCGACAUUUUUCACCGGUCACGAGCGAUGUCGGUUUAGAGGGAGUCCACUGUAUCUUGUAAGAAUACAAAUUCAAAACCUGUAUGUUCGCUACAGUUGUUUUGGAUACAUAAGCUGUCUACCUACCUCACUAGGUUAUGUCAGUAGACAUGUGUCUCAGAGAAACAAAAGCAUGUUGGGGAUGCAGUUUUUACUGUUCAGUAAAAUAAUGGCUUACGUAAACGUUCGUACAUACAUUGCAUUUUUUUAGAUUUUUGCAGUACAUUGUCGUUAACUCACAACCUUUUCUUAUCUUGGAACCUGUUCUAUAGGUCCUCGUCCUUUGUUCGUCGAGCGAAAUUUCAUAAAUACUUUGAGAUUAUUUGUGAAGUAGUAUUCUGGAUUCACUGCAUUAGAGGGGCUGGGGUUAUUGGAAUUCUUGUUGACGUUAUUUAUCGUUUGUUUGUGUAGUCAUAAACUGAUACACUGAUACAAUAACAUUUUACCGUGCAAGAAAAUUAUUUCAGCUACUUUAUUCCAACUGGCAUGGACUGUCCGUUUGCUGGAGCCAAAGCCGCCUUCAAACCCCACGGAUAACAGUCGUCUUGUGCGAUUGUACGGACGCAUCUUUCUAUUAAACGUUGACCGAGGGUCCGAGGUCGCAAAGCGAUUUUAACGCCGACGCAUUUAUAUACUUACGACAGUGUUAGCGUAACGAUCGCUUUGUGCAUAGUAAAUUAGUGUAAUUAUGUUGACACAUCAACACAGGCCAUUGUGUAAUGUGGCUUUAGAAAUUGAUAAUGGUUAUGCAUCAUAUCCCAUUAAUAUCGAGGCCAAAAAUAGAAAGAAUGGGCUUCAUACAACACGAUGAACAGAGUGGCAAGGGAGGACACAAUUUGGGUGAGAACCGGUGGGGAAUUGUCUUGCACAUCAUCUAAAUUUGUCUUAGUCCUAGUAUAUACAUAAAGUAGCUAUGCUGAAAUUUUGAAGCAAAUAAGGGGGUGAGUAAGUGUGCACCCCAGCACACCCCUUCUAAAUCUGCGCUUGAUGCAGCAUGUAAACAAAAUGCUGUGACAGAUUAUUUUUACCUAUAUAAGUUAUUACAAUAUCUGUUUGAGGACAAUCAGCUAUGAGAUUUGAAGCAGUUUAAUAUGGAAUGAAUAUUAUUCAGUAGCCUGAGGGGAUUGUUACAAACGUGUGUGUCAUCGUAUGAGAAGUGACCUCUCAUACUAUCAGCCACACGUUUACCUACUUAACUGAUUAUUUACAGGCCAAUUGCGCACGGUAUAGUGUCGCUGUCAGCAGUUUAAAACAUCAUUCACUCAGUCGAUGUUGGAUGUCGAGGGAUGACUGCGUAUGAUGUGAAAUGGCAGCUAAACUGUGUUGUUCAAUGUUUAAUGAGUUAUUGUUACCUUAAGGACCGUUCAUAAUUUAUGGCGGGGUGUGAUGAUGAUUUUAAUGGAGAAACAUGUACAAUGAGAAUGAUCCCCUAUAAAUUAUAUGUACAAAGUUAGUGACGCUCCCCUGCCUGUCAUGUACAAAAUCAAUCCCCCCCCCUUAAAAUCAUAACCGUCCACCCCCAAACGUCCCCUUCGUGUAUGCACAUGACGGAGUCUGUUUCAGUGUCAAAAAGAGAUUCGGAAGCUGGUGAACUAAAGCGUUCACGAUUUAUGUUGUAUAAGGGUCGACCAUUGGACUGUUCUUCUCAGUUCGCCUUGCGUAUAACACUCGUAUAUGCAAUAACAACAUGACUUCACCCUUUGCCAUUAUAUCUGCAAGGCAUACCAUAUUAAUAUAUUAUUAUGACAGUUUUUUCUAUUUUAUUUAUUGUUUUAUCUAUCAUUUGUUGCUAUGGUAAAGGUGUGUACCGACCGUGCGGCCAUGUCUGAUAUGAUGUUCGCCACAUCGGUCAAGCUCGUGCUUCAAUAAAACCAUGAAAAACCAA